GACAGAGGUGCCAAGCGUUAGGCGGAAUCACUGGGCUUAAAGCGUGUGUAGGCGGAAUUGUAAGUACCUUGUGAAAGCCCACGGCUCAACCGUGGAGGGUCAUUGGAAACUGGGGAACUUGAGUGCAGAAGAGAAAAGCGGAAUUCCACGUGUAGCGGUGAAAUGCGUAGAGAUGUGGAGGAACACCAGUGGCGAAGGCGGCUUUUUGGUCUGUAACUGACGCUGAGGCGCGAAAGCGUGGGGAGCAAACAGG
rnacentral:rRNA from 1 species